UUCAACGCGAGCACCCAGCAGGAACCGAGUAGUUUGGGGCUCAGCUAAACCCGCAGAAUUUCUGCGACCCGAGCGGCUCCGAACAUCCUAACGUUGUACUAUUGGAUCUCUUGUCUCUCGUCAUAUUCGCCCGCUUGCGUGGCUGCGGGUUGUAGUUCGGCCGUGUCCUUCGUCACGUACCGAGUUUAUUUUGUGGUGCUUUCCAUACAGGUGCCGUAUACUUGCAGAUCCACAAUGAGUUACGCUCAGCUACAGCCGCAGGCUCCACAACCCACAGCCACAGGCAACCAACAACGCCAAGCUCAACAACAGACGAUCAACCUCUACGGAGGGAAGGGCAGCGGAGUGGGUUCCGUGGUGCAGUCGGAAGUAUCGCGAGAGCAGCAGACGGUAAUGUGGCAGCAGAAUUCGUACCUGGCUCACGGCAACACUGGUUCGGGAACCGACUCAGGUAUCCAGAGUGCAGGGCCUCUUUCAGUGGCUGGUGGUGCAGAAGACGGAAUGAUCUACGAUUGGGGUGACCAGAGCUCGACCGGAGCCAUUAGUAGUAAUUAUGGCGGAGCUCCAAAUACGGGAGAUCAGACCAACAGUAGCGUCGAUGAAGUCGGUGCUCAGCUGAGUCAAACGAGAUCACAGCGCGUUCGCGCUGCCAUGUUUCCCGAGACCCUCGACGAGGGAAUGGAUAUACCCAGCACCCAAUACGAUCCAAGCCAGCCAACUGCUGUUCAACGACUAUCAGAACCUUCACAAAUGCUACGUCAUGCCGUAGUCAACUUAAUUAAUUACCAGGACGAUGCUGACCUUGCGACGCGGGCCAUUCCAGAGCUAAUAAAGCUGCUGAACGACGAGGAUCAAGUAGUUGUCGGGCAAGCAGCGGUUAUGGUUCACCAGCUUUCGAAGAAGGAGGCUUCUCGGCACGCCAUCAUGAACUCCCCGCAAAUGGUGGCGGCCCUCGUAAAGGCCAUGGCUACUUCGAAUGACCUGGACACGACGCGCAGCGCUGCCGGCACCCUACAAAACCUCUCGCAACAUCGGCAAGGUUUAUUGGCCAUUUUUAAAUCUGGCGGUAUUCCCGCGCUCGUCAAACUGCUCUCGUCACCCGUGGAAAGUGUGCUUUUUUACGCUAUCACGACCCUCCACAAUCUGCUAUUACACCAAGAUGGCAGUAAAAUGGCAGUCCGGCUAGCAGGAGGACUCCAAAAAAUGGUAUCACUGCUUCAAAGGAACAAUGUCAAAUUCCUCGCGGUUGUCACGGAUUGUCUACAGAUCCUCGCUUACGGCAACCAAGAAUCGAAGUUGGUCAUCCUCGCAUCUGGAGGGCCAACGGAGCUCGUCAGGAUCUUACGAUGUUAUACCUACGAGAAACUGCUGUGGACCACUACGCGAGUGCUCAAGGUGCUAUCCGUGUGCUGCUCGAACAAACCGGCAAUCGUGGAGGCCGGUGGAGUGCAGGCGUUGGCUCAGCAUCUGAACCACGGUUCGCAGCGCCUGGUCCUCAACUGUCUCUGGACACUUCGCAAUCUUUCUGACGCCGCCAUUCGUCAGGACAAUCUGGAACAACUGCUUCACAACCUGGUCGAGCUACUAGCUUCGCCUGACAUGAACGUAGUAACAUGCGCUGCUGGUAUUCUUUCUAAUUUGACAUGCAAUAACCAGCGUAAUAAAUCAAUUGUAUGCCGCGUGCAAGGUUGCGAAGCCCUUGUACGAACGGUCAUUCAGGCAGGCGAUCGCGAAGAAAUCACAGAACCAGCAGUGUGUGCACUGCGCCACUUGACAUGCCGUCACCCUGAGGCCGAACUUGCCCAACAAGCAAUUCGACGAACGUACGGACUUCAAGUAUUUGUCAAGUUACUGCAUCCACCUGCACGGUGGCCACUUGUAAAGGCAGUGAUCGGACUGAUACGUAAUCUGGCUUUAUGCCCUGAUAAUAACGCGCCUUUGCGUGAGGAUGGGGCAAUACAACGUCUUAGCCAGAUUUUGCACAAGGCAUUCGGCGAUAUGACCGCGAGUCAUGCAAACGGAGGACCGGCGCCCCUCUGCGACGGAGUCAGCAUGGAAGAAGUAGUCGAAGGUACUGUGGGGGCUAUGCACAUCUUUUCCAAGGAUCCCAGCAAUCGUCCACUUAUCCGGUCACUGCAUGUAAUUCCUGUAUUCGUGCAACUCCUCUAUUCGGAUGUCGAAAACGUGCAACGUGUUGCGGUCAGUGUACUCUCUGAACUGGCAGCAGAUCGUGAAGGCGCUGACCAGAUAGAAGCUGAUGGAGCAACAGGACCGCUCACUGAACUAUUGCGUUCCGGAAAUGAAGCAGUUGCGACAUAUGCAGCAGCAAUUUUGUUCCGUAUGUCAGAUGACAAAUCUCAGGACUAUAAAAAGAGACUUUCCAUGGAACUCACUGCGGGUCUGAUGCGGCCAGGUGAGCACGGUACACCUCAGCCACCGCAUGUCGAUCCUAUGGACAUGGGAUUCGAUCCUGACGCGUAUAAUCCCUCCGGAAUGUAUCCUGCGCCCCCUCAUACCGCUCCAGGAGGACCCAGAAACCCCGGCCAGCAGCAAACCAACAAUAACAACAACAAUAAUUAUGCUGCUCAGGGUUUUAAGUUACUUUCGUAUUCUCUCCAUCACGAAACAGCUGUAAGCCCUGUGGGGAACGAAUAGCAAGUGGAGAACUAAAAAAUUCAGUUAAGGAGCACGCCAAAUCCGCUGAAGUACCCAGUAUAGUGCUGAAGUUGAUCCUGGCAUAUAUUUACUCAAUACGAAUAAGAUUAAAAGUAGCUUUGCUUUCAAGACCUGGGGGUCUCCGGGAAGAUAAUUUACACCGAAGGAUGGAGUAAUAUCUAACUCAAUAAAAAGCAGUAAGAAGAAUAAAAAUUAUUCAUCUCGUUGCUUCGGCUGCUUAAGUAUCGAUGGUAGACGAAUAACUGAAAUGCUAAAUGAAAGAGUAUGACGAGAGACUAGAUAUUCAUAUCGUGUCAACAAUAUACCAAUUAUAAUAUAUAAGAAUUAUUAUUCUAUUGCCAAUAUUUAAUAGACAAUGUAAUAAUAAUAAUCAUAUCUGAAAAAGGCUAAAUAACCUGUGGAUGAACGACGAGUGUAUAUGUGAGUAUAUGUGUGUUACCUCAAGUUUAUUUUCCGGUAAUAUAGCAAUCUAAUUGAAUUCAAGUCAUCGAUGUCAGGUUUACCGCGCAAUCUUAUUUUUUCGGGCGUGCCCAUUGACUCCACAUUCAGAAAUAUUUAUAGAUAACAUGAUUAUAAUUGUAGAACAAACGUUCUUUAAGUCUAUGGGUGAAGGUAACGGCGAGAUAUACCAUAUAGAGAUAAGAUAUUAUAUAUAUAUAUAGGCUGGAGACAAAUCAAGUCUCUUUCAGUGAAAGUGGAUCAGACGUACGCAUUAUCUGCGUUUCUGGAAAACUAAAAAUAUGGGUUGAAUAAAUUGAUUACGUAAAUGAUAUAGAAAAAUGAUGAAAAGGUAAAAGAAAUAAGAGAUGUCACCAUCGUAGUACAUUGCACAGGCACCUCACACUCUUGUGCGACAUACACACGUUCCCAAAACCAACGGCACCAUUAAUUUUUUCGCAAUGAGAAAUACAGAUCUUCUUACAAGAAGUUAUCAUUUUUACAUCGAUACAGGUACGAUUGUCCAGGUUGUCCAAAAUAAUAGACAAUAAAGAAUGGAAUGCAAGAAAGAAAGGUUUGACCAAAAAUGUAGAAAAAGGCAUGCAAGUUACACGUUACCGGGCUAACUCUCAGGGUUAUUAUAAUAUAAAGCGAGCAUUACAAGGAUCAAUCGAGCCAACUAAAACUCAAUCUCUGUCUAUAUGGUAUUCCCUAGUGUAAGAGAUCUUCUACAAACGCAAAUAGACACCUCUGUCCGGUACAGUGAGUGAAAAGACGGUGAAGUACAUAAAAAAGGGGUAAAUAUAAUUCCUUAUUCCAGAGAACAGUACGAAUCGCUCGCUAAAUAGGAAUUAGUAAUAACACGAUCAAAACAAUGAGAAGUGCGAGUAGCACAGUUUAUAUUGCAAAAGGGGAGGAUUAAAGAUAGAGUCAAGGGAUAACACAUACACACACACAAUAAGACAUGAAAAACGAUCUUGGCGAGCGAUUAAGCGGCGAAACUAGCAGAGUUAAAACGCGUGGCCAAGAUGUGGGAAGCGAUUAAUAAGUGUCAAUUACUUGAGACUAAGAAAUGCUGAAUUUUACGAUAGGUAUGUAGCGGAUGUCAAAGAAGACGAUAAUUAUUAUUAUAAUAACCACUGACAACGAGGCAGCGUGAGGAAGAAGGAAACAAAAGAACUUUUUUGUAUAUGUGUGAGUGUGCAUACAUGUAACCGUGCUACAGUCAACUCACAUCUACGAAUUCCGGAAAAAGUCCACGAAGGAAAGGAACUGUUUGCUACUGAACGCUUCUCGAAUGAAGAAAUGCGAAUGGCAGGCAGUCCAAUGUUCUCGUAUUGUACACGCUCGCAAUUGCAUGACUAACCUAACUGAACACAUUAGACAAAAAAAACUAAUAUUUUUAUGAAUGUUUGCAAUGCUGCGAGGAGCGCUUCUGAGAGGUUAUCCAGUCGACACACAAAUAGCCAUUAACUCUAUGCAGACUUUGGACAUUUCGAGUUCCCCUGUGGCGACACCGCACGCCGCUCA